rnacentral:rRNA from 1 species
AACGAACGCUGGCGGCGUGCCUAACACAUGCAAGUCGAACGAAACCUUCGGGCUUUGUGGCGCUCCGGUGCGUAACGCCUGGGAACCUGCCCGUGGGUUCGCUAUAACUCACCGAGAGAGAUCCUAAUACAGGUUGAUGUCUUCGGGCCUAAGAUUUAUCGCCUUGGGGUGGGGGCGGGAUGGUUUAGCUGGUUGGUAGUGUAAAAGCGGGCCAACGCGAGGUUGCAUAGCUGGUGUGUGAGGAUGAUCAGCUACAAUGGGGAUGCGACACGGACCAGACCCCGACGGGAGGGAGGAGUGGGGAACAUUGUACAAUGGGGGAAGACCUGAUACAGCAAUGCCGGGUAAGUGAUGAAGGCCGUAGGGUUGUAAAGCUCUUUUAGCCGGGAUGAUAAUGACAGUACCGGGUGAAUAAGCACCGGCUAACUACGUG